AAAAAGGGCAUUCGGUGUUGGUGCCGUGCGUUGUACUACGUGCAGCGUACAGAAUCGCCAUCAAGAGAUUCUGAAUGCAUAAUUUUUAGAAGAGGGGUAGUUGGUUGUCGUUUACACCGGCACCCCU